rnacentral:lncRNA from 1 species
CAUAGUUAGUGCAAGCAUACUUAGCAAUCAUUGCGAGACAAGACUACGCCCAUGCAUAGUGAUAUUAGCAAGGUAAAUGAGAAACAUAGCAAUCACUCCCCUAUAAUAAUGUUGCUCUACCAGCCCAAUACACGAGAGGGGGACUAUAUAAGAAUCAAUGAAGCUGUCACUAUCACGAACUACCCCACGAUCAAGCAUAUUGGGUACAAUCACAGAUAAAUACGGUAUAAGCACCACGCCUACACAAUAUCUAUCAUUUACCC